UUUUUUUUUUUUUUUUUUCUUUUGUCGUUAACUAUCUUCGUAAUCGGACGUUGUACCUACAGUUGAUAAUGGUAGAAAUGUGACACAGGGAUGCUUCAAGAGAAAAUGAGCUCUUCAUUCAUCUGAAAUGGAGAGUAGUGUUUAUCCGGCCCAAGGCAACUUGUGCACUCCAGUGGCAAGAGAGAAAGGAGAUAUGGCAUAGAAAUGAAGCUGUUGGGAGAUUUUACGGAUUUUCAUGACAAAAUCGAUACCCGUUGAAAUUAAGAUUGGUGUUUGGGGCUGCGAACAUAUUGGAAAAUGCUAACUUCGGUCCAGUUCUUGACAUAGUUAUAUUUUUGAGGAUUGAAUCAAAGGCAGUGCCAAUCCUCAGGAGUCCCAUUCUCAUGCUACUUCACCGAUAAUGCCGGUAAUAAGAGAGAGAGGUCGACAUGGGAAGACAAGGGUCAGUUGUGAAAGAAGUUGACCGUGCUGGACGACGGUACAACUAAAACCGAGUUCGUGUUCCCGACGGGAAUUGGACCAGAGAUAAAACUCUUCUCUUUCCGAAAUUCUAAAUGGCUAACCUGACACUGCGUGCUUUUAUGCAUAUAUGCACAAGUUCAGGUGAACAGGUGCAUCUUUGGUUUUAGUAUAUAUUACAAAGGGUUCCAGAAAUGGUGGAGUUGGGUUCAUAUACGCGCGCACGCGAGCGGCUCAUGCGCGCUUAUGUCUGCAGGUUCCUAAAUGCAUCCCGUUGUUCGACGUAUUUCUGUCUUCUUAUUUCCCGAAGGUGAUCGCAUGAACCUUCGUUUCCACAUAAGAGAUCUUGGUACAGCGGAAGAAGGCUAACCGGGAUGAGGUGAUCAUUUGGUGCUAGUGCCAAGUCACGCGUGUUCCAUCACACCAGAGGCCGAUGGGACUGGAAUCCUAAAGGGAGGCACAAAACCCCAUGCUUCGUGAAGGAUGGGAAGACGAGAGCGAGAAGGGGGUUCCCAAGUAUCGAAAGGUUUAGCAACAAUGCAGGAAUAUAAAUGAAUGGGAGUUGAUGGUAAGCUAGAAAUAUCUGAAAUAAAUGAAAAUCCAGGGACAACAAAUAGAACAAUUGAAGACUUGUGAACAUAAUCGACAUUUACGAUACAGGAAGCCAUAAAUGAGGCAGUGCGCAAUAUAAUCUUGGGGCAAUUAUUGUUGCACAAUUCAGCGAGACAAAAGUAUUUAUUAUGUGGCGUCAUUUGGAGCCUGGCAACCUGCAUCUUGAUUGGCACAAAAAGUGUAAAAAAAAAUAUGAGAUAUACAA